rnacentral:rRNA from 1 species
UUGAAAAGAGAGUUAAAAAGUACGUGAAAUUGUUGAAAGGGAAGCGCUUGCAAUCAGACUUGUUUAAACUGUUCGGCCGGUCUUCUGACCGGUUUACUCAGUUUGGACAGGCCAGCAUCAGUUUCGGCGGCCGGAUAAAGGCUCUGGGAAUGUGGCCUUCACUUCGGUGAAGGUGUUAUAGCCCAGGGUGUAAUACGGCCAGCCGGGACUGAGGUCCGCGCUUCGGCUAGGAUGCUGGCGUAAUGGUCGUAAUCCGCCCGCCUUGAAACACGGACCAAGGAGUC